UGUGAGGGCCGGGGGGGGCCGGAGCGAUGGCCGCGGCGUCCGGAUUUCCCAUUCCCAAACCUUGGCCCGAUGCAGGAGGAGGAGGAGGCUGAGAUGAAGAUGGCCUGGGAGCCCCAGGCAGACCAGGAGCUGAGGAUGGAGACCAGGGCGGACAAAUCCUCACAGCAGAACCUCAUGGAAGAGACUGUUUUGAGCAGCUCCACAGGACAGGAACCCAACGGGGAGGAAAAGCCCCGGACAUCAGGCACAAGGAGAGGCUGCAGACACAGAUCACGGGGAUCUGAGGAGGAAAGGCUCACCCAAGGCUGGGGAGGCGGCAGGAGCUCAGAGCUGGGAGCAACUUCAUGAUGAGGAGAAGCCCCACAAGUGCUUGGAAUGUGGGAAGAGCUUCAGCCAGAGCUUCAAUCUCCUCACCCACCUUCAGGUGCACACGGGGGAGCGGCACUGGGAGUGCAGGGAAUGUGGGAAGAGGUACAGGCACAGCUCCCACCUCUACCACCAGCGGGUGCACACCACAGAACGGCCCUACACAUGCUUGGAAUGUGGGAAGAGCUCCAGUGUUCGAGCAGUUUGGAUCUCCUCAAGCACAGCACACCAGUGUCCCGAGUGUGGGAAGACCUUCAGGCACAGCUGUAGCUCGACCCAACACAAACAGAGCCACCACUAAGAGAAGCCCUGAGAGUGCCCUGAGUGCGGGAAGAGCUUCCUGUGCUGCUCCAGCUCCAAGCCCCAUGGGAGGAUCCACACUGGAUGAUCCCCAGUGACCCCCGGUGGGCAGAGACCAGUGAUCUGUGUUGGGAAGGCACCUGCCUGCGGGCUCCACAUCCUCCUGGGUCCCCAUGGCCUGGGUUUUCUUGUCAUUUUUCUUUGUCUCUUCAAAACACCCAAAACUGGAGUAAAAAAAUAAAGACAUUGAACUAAGA